rnacentral:rRNA from 1 species
GAUGAACGCUAGUGGGAGGCCUAACACAUGCAAGCCGAGCGGUAUUGUUUCUUCGGAAAUGAGAGAGCGGCGUACGGGUGCGUAACACGUGUGCAACCUGCCUUUAUCUGGGGGAUAGCCUUUCGAAAGGAAGAUUAAUACUCCAUAAUAUAUUGAACGGCAUCGUUUAAUAUUGAAAGCUCCGGCGGAUAGAGAUGGGCACGCGCAAGAUUAGCUAGUUGGUGAGGUAACGGCUCACCAAGGCGAUGAUCUUUAGGGGGCCUGAGAGGGUGAUCCCCCACACUGGUACUGAGACACGGACCAGACUCCUACGGGAGGCAGCAGUGAGGAAUAUUGGUCAAUGGGUGCAAGCCUGAACCAGCCAUCCCGCGUGAAGGACGACUGCCCUAUGGGUUGUAAACUUCUUUUGUAUAGGGAUAAACCUGCCCUCGUGAGGGUAGCUGAAGGUACUAUACGAAUAAGCACCGGCUAACUCCGUG